rnacentral:rRNA from 1 species
GACGAACGCUGGCGGCGUGCUUAACACAUGCAAGUCGAACGGAAAGGCCCUGCUUUUGUGGGGUGCUCGAGUGGCGAACGGGUGAGUAACACGUGAGUAACCUGCCCUUGACUUUGGGAUAACUUCAGGAAACUGGGGCUAAUACCGGAUAGGAGCUCCUGCUGCAUGGUGGGGGUGGGAAAGUUUCGGCGGUUGGGGAUGGACUCGCGGCUUAUCAGCUUGUUGGUGGGGUAGUGGCUUACCAAGGCUUUGACGGGUAGCCGGCCUGUGAGGGUGACCGGGCACAUUGGGACUGAGAUAGGGACCAGACUCGUACGGGGGGCAGCAGUGGGGAAUAUUGCACAAUGGGCGGAAGCCUGAUGCAGAAACGCCGCGUGCGGGAUGACGGCCUGCGGGUUGUAAACCGCUUUAGCCUGUGACGAAGCGUGAGUGACGGUAAUGGGUAAAGAAGCACCGGCUAACUACGUG